UAUAAUGUAAUAAAGGUCAGCAGGUAGAGUUUUGCUCUUAUACUUUGUGACUUUAAGCCAAACAAAUAUAUAAUAUAAAAGUAAUAAAAUGAGGUUUCACCAGUAAAUAGCAAAGAAGCCCAUUGUUGUUAAAAGAAAGAUAGAAGCCCAUUGUUGUUAAAAGAAAGAUAGAAGCCCAUCAAUACUUUCCUCCUCAAGUCGUUAGGUUUCUAUCAAUUUUGCUUUUGCUCUUCUCUCCUUCACAACAUCUCCUUUGUUUGCUACAGAUUCUCUUCAUUGCUUCUCUGAAUUUCUAUAUUCGUUAAUCAGAAGCCGUUUUGAUCAUUUUCAGGAUGAGAAUUAGCCAAAGAUCUCGUGAAGCAAUAUACUUUAGAUUCUGUUUCUGGAGAUUUCUUCUUUGAAGCUUUGAGUGUUUGAUCCUUAUUGCUCAUAGAAUAUCUGAUUCUUAUUAGAAUGUUAAGUUAGUUACAAUCAAAUCUUUGGUUCUGUCUAAUGACAAAAGGAUUUAGGUGUUUUGACUUUGUUAAAGAUAACAACAGCAAAUAAAAAUGGGAGCUACGAAACUUUCGGGGAUGCAAAAGCAAGUCCUGAGUCUCUACAGAGGAUUCCUAAGAGCAGCUCGUUCAACGGAAGACAGGAAGAGAAUACAGACGAUCGUGUCGACAGAGUUUCGCAAGAACUCAAAGGAGGUUGACCGUAAGAACUUUCAGUACAUUGAGUAUCUGCUUCGGCUAGCUCAUAAACAACUUGACCAACUCAAAAGUCCCGAUAUGGUUUCCAUCUCCUCUGUGAAGAUCAACUAGUCUUUAUAUCUCUCAAGGUGAUCAUAUUUGUUAUGUAGAAUCAUCAUAGAGAAUCAAAGAGAGGCAAACUGAUUCCUUUAAUUCCUCCCAAGUUUCUUUAACAUUGGUUGGUAUGUUGGAUUGAUAAUGCAUAACUUGAACAACUGUUUCAAGAUCCAUAAAUAAAAGAGGUGAUUACUGAUUACAAUUGGAAUAUAUAUGAGUUGGGAGAUUUGCAAACAUUCAACUUGAGUAGAUAUGUAUUAGAUUCUUCUUUGCCCUGUUGUUUACUAGUCGUUGUGAGUUGUGACCUUUCAAUGCAAUCACUAGUCGCAGCUUAGUGUUCGUUUUUUUUGUCCGUGGUUAAAUGGUAAUUGCGGAUUGCAAGUAAACGAACAUGGCUAAAUUGUUUUAUCUAUAGUGCACUAUGCAUUGGAAGAAUAAGAGACAUGAGGUAGCAAAAAAAGAAGUUGAGAAAUGGUUUAUGAUAAAAGGGGCAACUGUAAUAUAUGGAAGUUUGCACAUAAUCACCAAUUCACAAUUACACAAAAGCAGAAGAAAAAAAAACACAAGUUUUAAUUAUAAGUAGGGAAAG